AGAGUUUGAUCAUGGCUCAGGAUGAACGCUGGCGGCGUGCCUAACACAUGCAAGUCGAACGAAGCACUUUAUCGGAAUUCUCCGGAAGGAAGAUUUAGUGACUGAGUGGCGGACGGGUGAGUAACGCGUGGGCAACCUGCCCCAUACAGGGGGAUAACAGCCGGAAACGGCUGCUAAUACCGCAUAAGCGCACAGGACCGCAUGGUCCGGUGUGAAAAACUCCGGUGGUAUGGGAUGGACCCGCGUCUGAUUAGCUGGUUGGCAGGGUAACGGCCUACCAAGGCGACGAUCAGUAGCCGACCUGAGAGGGUGACCGGCCACAUUGGGACUGAGACACGGCCCAAACUCCUACGGGAGGCAGCAGUGGGGAAUAUUGCACAAUGGGGGAAACCCUGAUGCAGCGACGCCGCGUGAGCGAAGAAGUAUUUCGGUAUGUAAAGCUCUAUCAGCAGGGAAGAAGAAAUGACGGUACCUGACUAAGAAGCACCGGCUAAAUACGUGCCAGCAGCCGCGGUAAUACGUAUGGUGCAAGCGUUAUCCGGAUUUACUGGGUGUAAAGGGAGCGCAGGCGGAAGGCUAAGUCUGAUGUGAAAGCCCGGGGCUCAACCCCGGUACUGCAUUGGAAACUGGUCAUCUGGAGUGUCGGAGGGGUAAGUGGAAUUCCUAGUGUAGCGGUGAAAUGCGUAGAUAUUAGGAGGAACACCAGUGGCGAAGGCGGCUUACUGGACGAUUACUGACGCUGAGGCUCGAAAGCGUGGGGAGCAAACAGGAUUAGAUACCCUGGUAGUCCACGCCGUAAA
rnacentral:rRNA from 1 species